rnacentral:rRNA from 1 species
CAUGUCCUACGGGGGGCAGCAGUGAGGAAUAUUGGUCAAUGGGCGGGAGCCUGAACCAGCCAAGUCGCGUGAGGGAAGAAGGUACUGAGUAUUGUAAACCUCUUUUGCCAGGGGACAAAGGCGGCCACGGGUGGCCGUAAGAGGGUACCUGGAGAAAAAGCAUCGGCUAACUCCGUGCCAGCAGCCGCGGUAAUACGGAGGAUGCGAGCGUUAUCCGGAUUUACUGGGUGUAAAGGGCGUGUAGGCGGGAAAGCAAGUCAGAUGUGAAAACCAUGGGCUCAACCUGUGGCCUGCAUUUGAAACUG